CGCGGCCUAUCAGCUUGUUGGUGAGGUAACGGCUCACCAAGGCAACGACGGGUAGCUGGUCUGAGAGGACGAUCAGCCACACUGGGACUGAGACACGGCCCAGACUCCUACGGGAGGCAGCAGCAGGGAAUAUUGCACAAUGGGCGAAAGCCUGAUGCAGCGACGCCGCGUGGGGGAUGAAUGCCUUCGGGUUGUAAACCCCUUUCAGGAGGGACGAAGCGAAAGUGACGGUACCUCCAGAGGAAGCCCCGGCCAACUACGUGCCAGCAGCCGCGGUAAUACGUAGGGGGCGAGCGUUGUCCGGAUUUAUUGGGCGUAAAGAGCUCGUAGGCGGCUCAACAAGUCGGCCGUGAAAGCCCGAGGCUCAACCUCGGGAUGCCGGUCGAAACUGUUGUGGCUAGGGUCCGGUAGAGGAGAGUGGAAUUCCCGGUGUAGCGGUGAAAUGCGCAGAUAUCGGGAGGAACACCAGUAGCGAAGGCGGCUCUCUGGGCCGGCACCGACGCUGAGGAGCGAAAGCUAGGGGAGCAAACAGGAUUAGAUACCCUGGUAGUCCUAGCCGUAAACGUUGGGUACUAGGUGUGGCGGAUUCAUUGACAUCUGCCGUGCCGAAGCUAACGCAUUAAGUACCCCGCCUGGGGAGUACGG
rnacentral:rRNA from 1 species